UGUCACUUAUGGAUGGACCCGCGUCGCAUUAGCUAGUUGGUGAGGUAACGGCUCACCAAGGCAACGAUGCGUAGCCGACCUGAGAGGGUGAUCGGCCACACUGGGACUGAGACACGGCCCAGACUCCUACGGGAGGCAGCAGUAGGGAAUCUUCCGCAAUGGACGAAAGUCUGACGGAGCAACGCCGCGUGAGUGAUGAAGGCUUUCGGGUCGUAAAACUCUGUUGUUAGGGAAGAACAAGUGCUAGUUGAAUAAGCUGGCACCUUGACGGUACCUAACCAGAAAGCCACGGCUAACUACGUGCCAGCAGCCGCGGUAAUACGUAGGUGGCAAGCGUUAUCCGGAAUUAUUGGGCGUAAAGCGCGCGCAGGUGGUUUCUUAAGUCUGAUGUGAAAGCCCACGGCUCAACCGUGGAGGGUCAUUGGAAACUGGGAGACUUGAGUGCAGAAGAGGAAAGUGGAAUUCCAUGUGUAGCGGUGAAAUGCGUAGAGAUAUGGAGGAACACCAGUGGCGAAGGCGACUUUCUGGUCUGUAACUGACACUGAGG
rnacentral:rRNA from 1 species